rnacentral:rRNA from 1 species
UUAAAUUGAAGAGUUUGAUCAUGGCUCAGAUUGAACGCUGGCGGCAGGCCUAACACAUGCAAGUCGAGCGGAAACGAGUUAUCAGAACCUUCGGGGGACGAUAGCGGCGUCGAGCGGCGGACGGGUGAGUAAUGCCUAGGAAAUUGCCCUGAUGUGGGGGAUAACCAUUGGAAACGAUGGC